AUGAUGCAACGGCCACUGGAGCUACGAUGUAGCGGACGACGCCGCCGCCGCCGGAGCUACGAUGCAGUGGCCGACGGAGCUGCUACACAGCGGUCAUCGAUGCCGCCGGAGCUGCGAUGCAGCGGUCCUCGACGCCGCCGGAGUUGCAUUGCAGCGGCCGUGACACCGCCGGAGCUGCUAUGCAGUGAUCGUCGAUGCCGCCGGAGCUGCGAUGCAGCGGCCGCCGACGUCGUUGGAGCUGCUAUGCAGUGGCCGCUGGAGCUGCGAUGCAGCGGUCGUCGACGCUGGCGGAGGUGCGAUGCAGCGGUCGCGGCGCCGCCGUAG
rnacentral:rRNA from 1 species